rnacentral:lncRNA from 1 species
AAAGAUCUGCAAAUUCCUCUAGAGCAUUCUCCAAGUUUUCCAAAUAAAAUUUGAAUUUCAAAUUCCAAAAACAUUCAAAAACCAAAAAAAGAGUAGAAAACAACAAAGAAAAAUCUAAAACAGGUAUUGUCCAUUGAAAUUUCAGAAGAAAUUGAGUCCCUAGAAUUUUGGAUUCGAGUUUCAAGCCAUUUUGGGUUCUUCAAGUUAUUCUAGGUGUUUCUAGUUGUUGAGGCUGUUGUCAUUUUUGGGCGUAUUCGAUUCCAAUUUGAGUCAAAUUAUGGGUAUAUUUGAGCUCUUUGGUUGAUGUCAAGUUGAUACUGGUUUAUUCAGUCAAUUUUGGGUCUGUUUGCUGGUGUUUUACUUUUGGGAUUCCAGACUUACUGUUGUGAUCUACUGCUAUUUGCUACUGAUUUUCCUUCUUCUUUCACUUUCAAUAACUCCAGGUAUGUUGCUAUAGAUCUCGAAUUUUGCACUGAAAAUAAAAUGUUGCUUGUGUGUUUUUUGCACUAGCAGCUAGUUCAUGAUUCUGUUGCAUUUCUGUGUAAAGUGAUCUAGUUUCAUUUAAAAUUGAAAGAUGUUAUUGUAUAUUGGACGUUAGUAUGUAGUUGUUUAUACUGAAGUAAAUUAGGACUGUUCAUAGAAUUAACAACUAUUUGAGACUGUAAUUAAGGACUGCUGGAAUUUAUUUAAUUUUCCGUUUCACCACAGCAAUUACUGCUAGUUUAAAGUUGUUUUAGCUUUUGGUUUGUUCUGUUGUAGUGGUUAAAUUCCGAAUGGGAAGUUAGUUAAUGAUGAAAUUCAUUCAAAAUAGAAGCAUCAGAAUGUUUGGGUAUGUUUAAAUUUUGAAAUGGUAUACUAACAGUCACUUGAGGUCACGUAUAUCUAGAUAUUCAAACAUGUGGGUCUUCUAUUGAUUCGGUUCUAGAUUUAGUCUGCAAAUAAGUGUUAUAAUACGUAUUGGUCAAUCAGUUGUUAAAAUUGGUAAAACAAGACGUUACGCUACACGUAUUGAAUAUGUAUGCAAAAUUGAUUUAAGGCCCACAUUUAAACUGAUUUAAACUGAAUAAGUGUUAUGCAUAAGUGAUGUUGAUAUGAAAAGCUGAUGUUAGAUUCUUGGGUUUAACUAGAUGGCCCGUGGUUGGAAGGUUGGGUUGGAUCUUCAUUUCCAUAAGGCCCCCGUUUGGGCUGUGUUUCGUGCUUCACUGAAAGUCUCAGUGAGACUUCUUUCGCUUAAAUUUAGAACUUGUUUGAAUAUUUAGCAAUGAUGUCUUAAAAUGUAAAUUAAUUAGGGCUUUUUCUUUAUUUUUAGAGACGAUACAUAAUAGAAAAUUGUAGUUGCUCUAGGUUGCGCUUUUAAAAUAAUAAAAUGAGGCUAGCUUUGCCAAAUAAAUGCAUAAAUUGUGGGGCCCUCUUUAAAUGUUCUUAUUAUAUACAUAGAAUUUGAGAUGUGACGUUUAGCAAAUUUUACGGUCUCCCGCAAAUAUAAUAAAUAUGCUAAUCGCUUUAGGCUCGUCAUUAACUAAUAUUACCUUCUUAAGAUUGGGUGAGCAUUUAUGUGACCCAAAUCUAAACCUCAACGAAGUCAAAAUGAGUCAAAAACCGCGAGUGCAUUUAUGUGCCGUGGUUCAAGACCCGUUUUCACAACGUUGAAAUUCUCUUUAAAAUAAUAACAAAAGCGGUUUAAAGUUAAAAAAGCACAAAAGUUACAACAUGUUUUAAAAUUAGGUAUAUAGCUAUUUAUAAUAGUUUAAGCGAUCGUGCUAGAACCACGGGAUCCAGGGACGCCUAACACCUUCCCUCGGGCCAAUAGAAUUCCUUACUUAGAAUUUCUUGGUAGCAGGCUCCAAUCUGGGAAGUCGAAAAUUUUCCUCGAUUCGGGAUUCAAGAAACCGGUGACAUGGGACACCAAAAGCCAAACCUAUCCCAAGUGGCGACUCUAAAUAAAUAAAUAAUUCCUAUUUGAAUAAUGUCACUUAAAAUAGAAAAAACUCCCUUAUACUUUAUCCUUCGGGGUAGAUGUAAAAAUGAGGUAUGACAUCGAGUGUCAAAGACAAGCAUGAUAUCAUUAUGAAUAUAAAGUCCGAAAAUUUAUCAAAAUAAUGAGUUACCACUGAUAUCUGAUAUAUUUGUGAUCGCUAAAUAUAUAGUUCCUUUAUUUAAUACGCACAUUUAUCUCUAAUUGUGUGUUUGAAAGUUUUCUUAACCAUGUUUAGAAGAGAAAUCAUAAAAGAUUUCUAAGUGGCUUAGCAUUCUUGGGUGAAUGUUAAGUAAAAAGUUUAUCCAAAAUUAACAUCAUUUUAUCCAAGUAACUAGGCACCUUAUUCCAAUUGUUUGGAAUAUGUGAAGUAUAUCAUUUUCAUCUAGGACUUUAUGAUAUGAUUGUACAUGUACAAAAAGAAUAUGAUUCUUCUUUGUGCCAAUAUCUUCAGUUCUUUACCUGGAUCACGGGCAUAAUGGCCUUUGAGCUAAUUGAAUUAACAGACUGACUUUGCCUAAUGAUUCUAAUCCUCUAAUUUAGAAAUGUUUCCCUAACUAAAAGAUCAAUAUUAAUUCAAAAGACUGAAGGAAAUCAAUGUUCCUACAUCAGACAUAAUUUUUUAAGCUAGAUUAAUUAUAAUAGCAGACACAAGGUUCCUGCAUGCAUUAUACUAGAGAAAAACCAAUACUAUUAUAUAAAAUUUGCAUUAUCAUGAUUUUAGACCUACAAACUUUUCUGCACUAGUUGGUUGACAAGAGGGUAGUGUAUAGUUUAAUUAUUGUUAGUGUUAGGUUUUUUAAAAGACCGUUCUCUUCUCCUUUCUUACUCUUCCGAGGAUGGUUCAGGGGGAGCUGGUUCCGCCUCCGGCUGAGGAGGGAAAUUUCAAUCGAUAUGCGGUAGCUUCGACAUGGAGCAGCAAGAAGAUUAAAAUUAUUGAUUGAAAAUGUCUUUCUUAAAUUUUAUUAACCAGCAGAGCUUUAAAUAGCUAACUUAAAACAAAAUCUACAAAAAAUUUGCAGUAUAAAUAUUUAAUUUGAAAAGCCUAGACUAUCUAAAUUAACUUAUCCAAUUCAAUUUAAAUUAAAAUAAAGAUUCUUCAUAUGACUAAACUACUUAUUAUUCUAGUAAAUCAAAUAUUAGCAGUAACAAAUGCAAAACCCAACACCCUUCCUUGCUUUUGUGGCUGCAAUCUAUAAAGGUCUAUCCUUCUCAAUUUCUGCUUUGGUAAUUUGUGCUUAUAUAUUCUUUCAAGUGUUUUUGAACUUGCUUCAUUCUACAAUAUGACUUGUUCUUUCUUUUUCUUUUUCUUCUGGUUUUGUACAUAAAAACAAUCUCAGCAACAUUGUCUUGUUUGAAUGUUCUUCCAAAUAAGUGUUAAUUUGGAUAAUAACAAGACUUGCAAAGCGUAUUUGUAAGGAUCUUUCUUCUAUUACAAUAUUUCAUAAAUCAUAGGUUUCAAUUUACGAUAUUAUUUUCGUUGACCAAAUCUAGUAAUUUUCGCCAGUAAAAGUUUGUAGGUCAUUCAAUAAGAGAAGACUACUCUCCAUUGUUGGAAAAUAAGGUUAAAAUUGAUAUGGGUUAAAAAUGAGCUUGGUUUAAAAAUAGUUAUGAAUUAAAAUGGUUUAAAAGUGGUUGAAAAUAGUUCCUUAGAAUAAAGUCACAGAUCCCAUAACACUCUGUUUGGAUUAUUGUUCCCCGCCAUUUUAUAAUGUAUUGUAUUGUAUCGUAUUGUAUCGUAUCGUUUAUAAAUAUAAUGUUUGAAUAUAUUGUAUUGUUUCUAUUUGUUAAAUAUUAUUUUGAUGUUUUGUUUGACUGUAUACUACUGUAUUGUAACUGAUAAAUUGAUAAAAAUACCAUCAAUUGUUUAAAUAUUAAAUUUAUUAAAAAUUAUGCAUAAAAAUAAUUUAAAAUAAAAAAACAGGCGAAACACCUUAUGAAAGCAGAACAAAUGAGCGAGAAAGAAGAAGGCAAAACGAAGGAGUACAACUAAUUAAGAUUGAGUUAAAAGUAAAUUAGGAGAAAAAAAUAAAAUAAAAGGCGGCAAAACAUCUUUAACGUUGGUGGUAGAAGUUCUUGAAAAAAAAUAAAGUAGGUUGUAGGUUGGAGAUUUGGAGUUAAAAUAGAAAAAAAAAAAGUAAAGAGUAAAAAAGAAUUGUGGAAUAAUUAGUUAGGGCAUAAUUGAAAAAGAAAAAUAGGAAAAAAUCCCACCAUAUCAAAUCAGUUAUUUCAAAAAAGAUGACUUUUCAUUAUUUCGGGCAAUGGAUUUAACAAUACAAUACAAUUAAUUUUAAUGAAAUAAUUAAAACAAAUAUCAUGGGAUAACAAUACAAUACGAUAUAACGGGGAACAACAUCCAAACAAGUUGUAAGACCACUGAGGCUCUGAUAUUACUGUUGGAUUUUUUUCUUAAAGAUACAAUAGCAAGAAGAUUAUAAGCAUUGGUUGAAAAUGUCUUUUAUAAAUUGUAUUAACUAAGAGUGCUUUAAAUAUCCAACUUAAAACAGAAUAUGCAGUAAAUCUGCAGAAUAAAUAUUCAAAUUCAAAAACCUAAAUAACCUCAACUAAUUUAUCCAAUUAAAUUUAAAUUUGAACAAAGACUCCUCGUAUGACUAAAUUGCUUAUAAUUUUGAUAAAUCAAAUAUAAGCGGUAACAAAUGCAAUCCAACAGUUAGCCCAUCGGUCGUCUUAGUUUUAUAAAGUAAUAUUCUUCCUAUAUUAUUAUUUGCCGCAUAGCAAUCCCAAUAUUAUUAAUCACCAUAUAACAAUUUCUUCCUUACUAUUUAAUUUAUUGUAUAAACAAUUUCAGACAUUAUAAUCUAUGCAUAGUUUCUAAAACAGUAUCCUUUUUAAUGAACACUGCACAAAUCUUCAGGCGCUUUGUGUGUUAUUAAUUGAACGCUUAAACUAUGUUAGGCAACUUAUAUACUCACCAAAAGGACUAAUAUUAUCAAGGUGUUUAUAAUGUUAAUUUUCCACUCUCAUGCCCAAAAUAAGAAACCUAACCUUUAUUAUAAAUUUGCAGUCAUUCUGAAAGCGGAAACACUUGUGUGUUUGUAUAGUUGAGUUGUUUGGAUUAUCAAAGAAGAAAUAGAAUAUCCCAUUCUAGACAAGUUGUUUGGGGAUCUUUUCAUACUCACUCUCAAAUUUCAAAAGUAAUAAUAUUGAUCUGCAAUUGGAAUGCUAGGGAAUAAAGCCCCACUAAAAUUUGUCUUGUUUUGCUCGCAAAUGCCUCUUCCCUAUUAUUGGUACGUACGUAAUCAUGGAGGAUAUUUUAGCCUUUACCAAAAAGGGAUAAAUUAUCCCCUUUUAGACAACUUGCUUCGAGAUUCUUUAAUACUGGAGUGGAGGGUCCUUAUUCUCAAAUUUAUAGUGGGUAAUAUUCUGCAUAAUUUGCAGUAGGAAUCCAUGUAGGUAUACAGCAAAAACAGUCUGAUAUGUAAGAACAUAGGAGAUUCAGGUUCCCGCCCCACUUUUCUCCCUAUAACCCUUCUUCUUUGGCUCACUGCUCCUCUUUCCAAUGAUUGGUAAUCAUUGAGAAUCUUUUUUACUAACGAUGGUGCACCUCGACUAUUUCAUGACACCUACUACCUCCUACUACUACAUGUAUUGGAUUAUGGAGCUGUGAAGUCAAAGAUUGUCAAAAGUAUUUAUGAACAGAAGAAGUCAAGGUCCUUUUUUCUCUUGAAGUUCCUUGAUAGAUUCAGGUGUAAAAUACUGACAUUUCAACCAUACACAACCUAAAUUCAGGAGGACAGUCUGCCUAAUUCUUUUGUCCUCCGCUUAGUCUAAUUUGAGAUUUUUUUUUUUCAAAAAGCAUAUAUUUCAAUUGGAGCUUUUUUCAAUCAUUUGCCUAGACGAUUUUGGUGACUUCUAUAUAGUUGCUCUCCUAUACCGAGCACUGCAACAGUACAGUUCGUGCUUGCCAGCUUUUCUCCUUGCAAAGUCUCCCUCAGUGCAAAAAGUGCAUCCUUAAGCAUACUUCCUCGUGAAGAAUCCGUGAAACUCCCGUACCUACGCUCCAAGUAUGUUUUUGCAGCUUGUGACCGAGAUCCAAUGGCAAAAGCUUGAUAUUCAAAGUAGUUACCACUAGGGCAAUUGUAAUAGAGGUGAGCACCAGAUUCAUCUAGCCCACCUACAAGCAGGCCAACACCAUAAGGUCGUUUCCAGGAUCGUUGGGUACAAACCUGCCACCAAAAAGAUGUCAAGAGACUAGGCAUAUAAGAAUCAUCAACCUUUUGAAAUCAGAUAGUUGAGUAUAUCAAGUAGCAACAUAUACAACAACAACAACAACAACAACUACCCAGUAUACUCCCACCAGGUGGGGUCUAGGGAGGGUAAUAUGUAGACGAGCCUUACCCCUACCCGAAAGGGCAAAUAUACAUAUGUAUAUCUGAUUUAAAAUCUAACAAAGGGAAACAGACAAAUUAUUGGGUACUAAAUGUCCUACCUCUAAUUUCAAAACGGGUUCAAUUCUGCGAAGGUGCUCAAUUAACACUAAAAUAUCAGAAAAUUUUUGUAGGGUGCGGCUAUCUACAUAACAUUCCUUAGGGUUUGUCCCUUCUCCGGACCCUGCAUAAAUGCAGGGUACUUUGUGCAUCGAGCUGCCCUUUUAAAGGAAAUUUGCUAUUAUUGAGGAGGCAAAGGAUAAAAUUUCUUUAACUGAUACUUGGGCACCGAAGCUCUAAAGCUGUUUUUUCCCCUUCUUUCUUAAAUUUUUUUUGUUUGGCGGAGGGGGGGAACUUAAUAGCUCCUCUAGGGUGCUAUGCUGAUUGCUAAAAAUUUAAUUACGAAAAAAGAGUAUACUCAUUAGUUGGUUCUUGCUGUUUUAGGAAAACCUGGGAGGGCCUUAAUCAUCUUCUGAAAAAUAGCAAAGUGAUGUCAGUUGUAUGGAAUAUUGGAAUGUGAUGCUGAACAUUUUAAAUAGGCUUUUGGGUUUAGAAACAAAGGAGUAGAAAAGGAACAACACCAGGGAUGGAGUGUUAUCCGCCAAGCUGUAGACUGGACGGAGGGAGAGGAACUCAGGAGCUUUGGGCAAAGAAAAACCAUUAUCCAAACAUAAAUAACUUGUUAUUGAAAUGCAAAUAACUAUUGUGCCUUUCAUUUAUUUUAGUCGAACAUAAUCUAUCACUAUGACAUUUGUAGAGAAUUGUAUAUCCCUUGUAUAUGGGAACCCCUUUUUUUUAGAAGAACAUAUCAGCUACUUUAAAAAACCAAUUACUUAAUGUACUAGUCUUCCCCUUGAACCAGUCUUGAAUCCUUGAGCUAGUGGAAGACUUUGAAGCCAAUAAGCAUUAAACCACAACCAGUAAACUCAAGAAAGACUAAGUCAUUUACUUAGUGUAGUACUAGUACUAAAUUUCAAACAAUGAAGUUGCACUAGCCAUGUCUACAAAAAGUUUUAGAUCAAUAUCCACUAUUACAUAAAAAAGAACCCAAAAGUAAUCCUUGUGUUUCAUUCAAGGCCUAGGGCUUUGGCAGACCUUAGGCACGUGCUACUGCUAAGCAACCGACCACAUC